rnacentral:lncRNA from 1 species
AUCACUAGAGAAGGCGCUCGGGAACUCGUUCCUCACGUGGCUACUGGAGCGCCGGCUUUCUUCUUGUUUUGCUUCCUCUUCUGCCCGCGUGUGUGGCUACUGUGUCAUGUGGUCGGCGGUUUUCACUAAUGUUAGCUGAAAUGUAGGAAACCAAAAUUCUACGAAACUUAACUGAUUCGGAGGAAGCUAGGACGUGUCUUUUUCUGCCCCGCCCGCCAUAGAUAGUACAGCUGAGCUCAUCCUCCUUACUGGAAAAUCGCCAGUGAAGAAAUACCUGAAUUGCCAUGUGCACAUUUCUCAAGAGAACGCGGGCAGUCAGAGUAGCAUGAGUUGCUGAUGAUGUGAAAGCAUGUGGACUUACCUGCAAACUGUUGCUGGCUGCACAGAACUCUUCCAGCCUGCACAGAAGUGUGCGUCAGGUUCGCAAACUGCACAAGUAAACACGUCUCAAAGGACAUAAUACAACCGCAGCCGGUUCGAGCACCGAGAAAUUCUAAAUAACAAAAUCAAUUUACUGAACUUCCCGGGUUGCCUCCCAGAACUCUGGUAUCAUUCUGCUGUGUUGCGAAUGGAUUGAAGAAAGACAAGAAUGAACUUGGAACAACUAAUUAUGGGAAUAUUUUAGUCAUCCAGAUGGUUAUUCUGAUUGUGGUGGCAGCAAGGAUGGAAAAAAGUGAGUGCAUCUGCUUUAUCGCUGCUGCUGCUGCUGCUGCUGCUGCUGCUGCUGCUGCUGCUGCUGCUGCUGCUGCUGCUGCUGCUGCCGCCACCACAUCUUUCCCUGACAUCAGAAGCCAGCAUGCUUGGUCAUCCAAUGUGGACUGAAGACCAGUAACUCUCCAGGAAUCUUCCAGGCCUUCAGCACCAGAUUGUCUCUGCUGAGGAAGAAUCCAGUCACAUGGACUAAGGAGCUAUUGGGUUCCCAGAUUCUCCAGAGAGGAGUAACUAUGUUUGGACUAACUAGCUUAUGGCAUGUCUCUGGACCAUCCAGCCUUCUGUUCCUGGUCAUCUAGACAGUGUUGGGCAUGGAAUCUCUUUAGUCAUGUGGGCAUCAAGUUACACCAGCCAUUGGUUGGCCAUUUCCACAAGUUCUGUGCCUCUUUUGCCCCAGCACAUCUUGUAGGCAGGACAUUUUAGGUCGAAGGUUUUGUGGCUAGGCACAGGCCUUUUAUUAAUGAAUCAGAGAUCACCAGGGAGCAUCCUUUACAGCACAUUGGUCAAUACAAUGCCCAUGUCCAGACUGCAACCUGAUCUUAGUGGCACAGAACUCAGCAUCUGAGUACAUCGUGUACAAGACCAAUCCCAACAACGUGACUACCAUCAGAGCAUUCUACCUAGUUGGAAGACUUCAUAGACACUGUGAAGAAACUCCCCCCCAGAUGCAAGGAGCACUACCUUCUCUGCUACUGACCACGGAUUCUGCUUCAGGCAGCUUUACUCCAGUCACUGCACUCCGGGCAAAGUACACUGGCUUUGGGAGACUUCUCUCCAGACAUCCUAGAACUCUCUGUGACUUUGAUCACUCUGUAAACAUUUUUGCUGAUACCAUGGGGAAGCAGGCAAACUCCUGACAUUCCCGACUCAACAGAAAGCUUGUGGAUCAUGCAACUCAGGGCUUGGGACUGGUCAUUAUGUAAGGCUUGUGGUUGGAAGUUAUCUGUGUUGUGAUUGGUGUAGAUUACAUCUGUGUGGCCUAUGCUUGCUGACUCCUUUCUGGCAAUUUAAACAAGUAUGUCCUCUUCCAUGUGCCACAGCAUGAGGCUCAAUAAAAUCUUCUCUUUAUUA